rnacentral:rRNA from 1 species
UACGUAGGGUGCAAGCGUUUGUCCGGAAUUAUUGGGCGUAAAGAGCUCGUAGGCGGUCUGUCGCGUCGGCUGUGAAAACUCGGGGCUCAACUCCGAGCUUGCAGUCGAUACGGGCAGGCUAGAGUUCGGCAGGGGAGGACUGGAAUUCCUGGUGUAGCGGUGAAAUGCGCAGAUAUCAGGAGGAACACCGGUGGCGAAGGCGGGUCUCUGGGCCGAUACUGACGCUGAGGAGCGAAAGCGUGGGGAGCGAACAGG